UACGUAGGGUGCAAGCGUUAAUCGGAAUUACUGGGCGUAAAGCGUGCGCAGGCGGUCUUGCAAGACAGGUGUGAAAUCCCCGGGCUUAACCUGGGAACUGCCCUUGUGACUGCAAGGCUAGAGUACGGCAGAGGGGGAUGGAAUUCCGCGUGUAGCAGUGACAUGCGUAGAUAUGCGGAGGAACACCGAUGGCGAAGGCAAUCCCCUGGGCCUGUACUGCCGCUCAUGCACGAAAGCGUGGGGAGCAAACAGG
rnacentral:rRNA from 1 species